UACGAAGGGGGCUAGCGUUGUUCGGAAUUACUGGGCGUAAAGCGUGCGCAGGCGGCUUCUCAAGUCAGGGGUGAAAGCCCAGAGCUCAACUCUGGAAUUGCCUUUGAGACUGAGUGGCUUGAGUACGAGAGAGGUGAGUGGAAUUCCCAGUGUAGAGGUGAAAUUCGUAGAUAUUGGGAAGAACACCGGUGGCGAAGGCGGCUACACUGGCUCGUAACUGACGCUCAGGCAC
rnacentral:rRNA from 1 species